UGAUGACUAUGGAGCUUAAAGAUUGA
rnacentral:piRNA from 1 species